GCAGUGGUGGCUCAGUGGUAGAAUUCUCACCUUCCACUCAGGAGACCUGGGUACAAGUCCCAGCCAAUGCC
rfam:Loxodonta africana unplaced genomic scaffold scaffold_19, whole genome shotgun sequence.